GAUGAGGCGGCUGAGCGGUUAAGGUGAUGGUGUACUAAUCCAUUGUGCUCUGCAUGCAUGGGUUCGAAUCCCAUGCUCACUG
rnacentral:tRNA from 1 species